UUCAAUUCAGAACUGCAGAUAGUACGGCUUCCACAGAGGCAGGGAUGCCUGGGCACAAGUGACUGAGUUCCUUCCGAGUGACUUUAGGAAACGCUCUGCACCUUUCAGGCGUGCAAACAGGACUCUGCACCUGCAUCAAAGACAGUCUGGGAAAAGCCUCUGUUCUGCCUCCGGGGACGAGGAACUAGAGCAAAACACACCAUUUGGAAAUUGGGUCCUGGUAAAGGAUCAAGAGAUCCAUGAAGGAAAUGAAGGCAGUUUUAUCUACAUCUUCAAUGCAUUUGUGGAGCAACAGAAGAAAGGUGGAUGUCUCCAGGAGAGUAAGGAGCACGGCUCCUUUAAAAUUAGGAUGUGAUUAAGAAACCAAGAAAACCUUGUGGCUCUAAGAGGAGACGACAGCUGGAAAGAAGCAGUGGACAGGUCUUUCUCUUCAUGCUUGGGAGAAGGAAUCCAAAGUUGAAUUGUAACUCACAACCACACCAAGGUACCAAAGUUUUGAAUAACUUGUAGUUAACUUGAUGACAUAGCAGGCAAGAUGCAAAGGAAUUGCUAUCAGUUGAAUACUAGAAAGUCAUCAUCCUUUCUCUCUAUUCAGCUAUCAUCAUCCAAAGAGCCUGGAGCAGAAGUGCCAAUUUAUUUAUUCAUGUUCAAAUGUUUUCUGUUCUCUUAAGGCAAUGGAUAAGCUACAUACUAGAACCCUUAUAAUUAAACUUCAUUAUUUAUUUCCUGGCUUUAUAAAAUCAUUGUUUGCUAACACCUAAGGAUGGUUUAUAAAUCUAAUGAUGCAGCUUUGAGAGCCCCUGCCCUCUUUGUUUUCCACAUACUUUAACAAUCCUGGCCUGCCUUUUCCACAGAGGCAAAGGCACAGAUCUCCACUCUUUAACAUAAAAACCUCCAGUUCAUCUUGUGCAUAUCCAGAGUGCUGGCAUUAAUGCCGGAUCCAGGGUUUUCAAUGGGGAGGAUAAUCUGUGAUAACAAAAUUGUAUCCCUUUCUUCCUGCAAUUACCUCACCAUCCUUAACAGCCGUGACAUCUGGAAGCCCCCAGCUACUGCUGCAGCUGUGACUCCUGCCUGUCCUGUGGCAGGAAGUUAGGAGCACAUUCCGAAGAGCAGUCAUUGUUUGAUGUUUUCUGGGAACUCAAAGCUGUGUACAUUGGAGAGCACCUUACAUGUGUAAGCAUAUUGGGAAUCAUACAUGUGUAGCCCUACAGUCUGAACCACUUACAGUUGGUGUAGGUUGUCUUUCUCUUAGCAACACAAUUACACACAUGCACACACACACACACACACACACACACACACACACAUUGUGACACGCCUUGAAUUUACCAUUUUGAAUUUGAUGUACAUGCGAGAAUGAAGCUCCUUGUGCUCGUCCUCAGUGCUCCGUAUGUUUGAUAUGGACACACCUUUGCCCCCACUGUCUCAUAUAGUCAAGGUAAAGGAAUGCUUGCCCGAAUACACUCUCCUCUUUAGAGUGCUGGGGAGAAUUAAAUGAGAAAGUACGUGCUGUAAGAAUCAUAGCAUUCUAUUUGUUCAAAUAGCACUUCAGAUAAUAAAUUAAUUUCCAAAAACUGGGGAAUUUGCUAAAACUCGAGAGGCCUCCAAGUGAAGCUCAGGAUUACUAGGUGUCAGGAAAACCCAACUGUAUUUUGGCUUCUCAAAAUGUGUAAAAUAAUUUUGUGUUUUAAAGAUGAUAUAUACAUUAGUUUAUUUAGAUUGCUUUUAACUCUUUAAAAAUGAUCAGAAGGGAUGUGUACUAGAUAGGCUUGCUCUUAACUUACCUUCUAAACAGCCAUAAUUAUCAGCCUCUUUUAAAGAGAAUUUAGUGGGUUUUGUUCAUAAAAUUAAGAGUAAAAUGGAUUUUACUAAUGCCCUACAAUUAUUUUGUUAAUCAAAAUGAUUGCCAGCAAUCGUCUAGAAACUGAACUGAUUUGCUACAGAUUGGAGCUUGCUCUGAUUCACAGCCCUGCCUGUUAAAAAUAUAAUUACAUAUGAUUU